rnacentral:rRNA from 1 species
AUUGAACGCUGGCGGCAGGCUUAACACAUGCAAGUCGAACGAGUGGCGGACGGGUGAGUAAUGCUUGGGAAUCUAGCUUAUGGAGGGGGAUAACUACGGGAAACUGUAGCUAAUACCGCGUACCAUAGGAUGAGCCCAAGUGGGAUUAGGUAGUUGGUGAGGUAAAGGCUCACCAAGCGGACGAUCUCUAGCUGGUCUGAGAGGAUGACGAGCUAGACGGGAAGUGCGACAUGGCCGAGACUCCUACGGGAGGCAGCAUGGGGGAAAAUUGCGCAAUGGGGGCAACCCGGAUGCAGCAAUGCCGAGUGUAUGAGGAAGGCCUUCGGGUGGUAAAGUACUUUCAGUCGGGAGGCUUUACCGACAAAAGAAUCACCGGCGAACUCCGUGCCAGCAGCGGCGGUAAUAC